UAGUCCACUUUCUUGAAGCAGACAGACAUGCAUACUUUUUGUUAUAAACAUGAGGUUCAUAUGAAAAAAUAAAUCCAGUGCCACUAAUUUACAUGAAGACUAAAACACCAAUUAUCCACAGCUUGGAGUAAAAACUAAAUGACUUUAAUGCAGAAUCCGACAAAUUAGAUUCUUCAGCCAACUUCGUCAUCUUCAUCUGUAAUUAACCAGUCAAAAAUACUCCACUAAUCCUAUAAUCCACCUUUAUGACGCACCAGCUGAAGCCCCAGGUUAAGUUACGUCUGAAUGAAGGUGCAGCCACAUACAGCACAAGUAGGCAUGUCUGUAGGUGUUUGAUUAUCCAAACAGACCAAAAUAAAGAAAUUUAGCCAAAUGUGUAACCUUUUGCUUCAAAUGUACUCACAAUAUACCCAAAUAUGAUGCUUAGCUGCAACAGCUCCUAUUAUACACUGGAAGUUGCAAACAUCAGUAAUCCUCCAGCAGGUGGAAUUUUUGACCUGUCCAAAACAUCUGUGACACCCUAGUUUAUCUGGUGAUUGCUCUGUGUAUGCUACAGUGCUAAAUUUGUAGGAGGGCAACAGUGUCCUACAGCAUCAUCCAGUUGUGAUGAAAGACGUGAUUGUGUUACUGGGGGUUAUUAGAUUGAACUUUUCAGGAACAAGCAUUCUGAGUUUGUAAAAAUACGUCAUACCAUUGUUGAGUAUGGUGGAGAUAUGUGAUUCUGUGACCAUGUUUCUCUAACAAUGGCCUUGGAAACUGUUACUUUUGUUUUGACCACACUGUUUGGAACAUAACUUGCUGAAAUGCCAAAUGACAGCCCACUUUUAGUUUAAUGGUGGCAGUAACCAGAAUAUCUAUUUAAAUGUCCUGGGAUUUCAAAGAAUGGAAAAGGGACUGAAUUUAUGUAGCGCUUUUCCAGUCAUACCGUCCACUUAGCACAUUACACUAGAGCCGCAUUCCCCCAAUCACACACACUAAUACACCAAUACACAGAUCGGUGUACAAGGUUAAUUGCCUUUGCACGUCGAUGUAAGGCAGGAUGAAACAGAAAUCGAAUUCACAACCUUCGGAUUGCAAGACGACUACUCUUCUCACUGAGUCACAGUGAUGCAAUCAUGAUGCAAUGACUGCUUUGCUGUCCACCACAGUCCCCAGGCCUAAAAAGACCAAACAAAACCACAGUGGGUUCAGAUUAGUUGAAAAAACAGUUUGAGUAAGAGAAGACACAGGACUCUGGAUGAUAAAGAGAGAUCAUCUUUACCAGACCCAAAGUACACAGCCAAGAUUACAAAGAAAUGGCUUCAGAACAACUCUAUGGAUGGAUCUGAAUGGCCCAGUCAGAGUCCAGACUUGACCCCGAUUGAACAUCUCUGAAAUAAUCUGAAAGCGGCUGUGCACCGAAGAUCCACAUCCAACCCGAUGAAGCUUGAAAGGUUCUGCAAAGAAGAGAAAGAGAGGGAGAAACAGACCCAAAACAGGAUUGCAAUGGGGAAGAUGAUCAUCUUAAAGGGUCAAAGGGCAGGACCAGGGUGCACACUUAGAGCAGUACGAUUUGCACGAUCCAGGAAAGGCACACAGAAUAUGUUAUUUGUGGAUUUGAUCCAAAAAAUAUGUCUUUUUCUGAACAAUUUCAGUGUUUUUGUUCUUUUUUAGAAUGAAAGAUGAGUGUGUUGGUUGUUGGUAUGUUUCCAAACCCUAACAACCUGACAGUAUGGUUGGAAUUGUUACAUUUGUUGUUUGA